CUCUGCCGCGAGUCGCUCGCUCGUUUCGCAGCUGAUCUUACAUUUUACAUACGUGACGGGGUACACCGAGGUAAUACAAAAUAGAAAAAACAUUGAAGAAAAAAUAAGGGAAAAGACAAAAGCAACGUUGCGAUCCUGACGAUCGACGUCGCUCUUUGGAACACGUUACCAAAGUUAUUUUCCAUUUUUCAACUAUUUUAAAAAACGCGAUAGGGGGGCAAAAAUAUCUUUCUCUGUAUCUCAUUUUCCCCUUAAAGUAUUACACUUUAUUUGACGGUGAGAUUUUGUCACCCAAUUUAUACGCUCUUGAUCCGUUUUAAUUUGUGAUCCAGCAUGAUCUACAUAGUAUCAACGAUCCAUCGUAGUAUAUCUGAGUGAUCAAAAUUUCUGUGGGCAGCUGCUGCUGUUGCUGCUUCUACUGGAAAAAAGAAAGGAGGGCGUCCCUUCGCGGCGAGGCACCGUUAUUCUCACCGUGGUUCUCAACAUAAAUCUGUAUUAAAACCGAAUAUUCAGGAUGUCACCCACGAUAAGAAUGCGAGUAUUUCCGGUACUCGUUGUUAUGUUGGGAUCUUGUGUUAUUUCGUAUCAAGUUUUUGCCGAGGACGUUGUUAGUCCAACUGCAGGAGAAAACUUUGGACGCCACUAUAACUCGAGGUACUCAGUUUUUGAUGAACCUUAUGAUGUAGAGUUCAAGUACCACAACUACGAACAGAUGAGCCGUUUCCUCAGAGCCACAUCGCUAAGGUACCAGAAUCUUACGGCGCUUUAUUCCAUCGGGAAGUCCGUUAAAGGCAGGGAUCUAUGGGUAAUCGUAGUUUCAUCUUCUCCCUACGAACAUGUUGUUGGAAAUCCAGAUGUGAAGUACGUUGCUAAUAUUCAUGGGAAUGAGGCCGUUGGCCGUGAAUUGAUGCUACAUCUUGUUCACCUCUUGGUCACUAAAUAUGGAACCGAUCCAUACAUAACGUGGCUUUUGGACAAGACGCGAAUCCAUAUUUUACCGUCGAUGAACCCUGAUGGUUUCGAAGUUUCGAAGGAAGGGUCGUGCGAAGGAGGUCAAGGAAGGUACAACGCUCGUGGUUUCGAUUUGAAUCGUAACUUUCCCGAUUACUUCAAGCAAAACAAUAAAUGGAGCCAACCAGAAACAGAAGCUGUCAAAGAAUGGGUUUCGAAGAUUCAGUUUGUCUUGUCCGGAAGUUUACAUGGUGGAGCCCUCGUUGCCAGCUACCCCUUUGACAACACACCAAACUCGAUGUUCCAGAGUUAUAGCUCGACUCCGAGCGUAUCACCGGACGAUGACGUCUUUCGUCAUUUAUCAUUAACGUAUUCUCAAAAUCAUGGUACAAUGCAUCGAGGUGCAGCUUGUUCAUCAACUCAGCCUGGAUUCAAAAAUGGUAUUACAAACGGUGCGGAGUGGUACCCACUUACAGGUGGUAUGCAGGAUUUCAAUUACGUUUGGAACGGUUGCAUGGAAAUAACCCUCGAAUUAUCCUGCUGUAAAUAUCCACCGGUGGAGGAUCUCCCGCGUUACUGGGACGAAAACCGAGUGGCGCUCAUUAAAUUUCUUGCCGAAGUUCAUCGUGGUGUUCAUGGUUUCGUCAUCGAUGAGAACGGUAAUCCGGUUGAAAAAGCAUCUCUUAAAGUAAAAUCUCGCGAUGUUGGUUUCGUAACUACAAAAUACGGUGAAUUCUGGAGAGUCCUACUUCCCGGAAUCUAUAAAUUAGAGGUCUACGCUGACGGGUAUCUACCCCGAGAAGUCGAAUUUAUGGUAGUUGAACAGCAUCCAACGCUCUUGAAUGUCACUCUUCGGGCCACCAAGAGAUGGGAGUAUAAUAAUCAGCCCGAUCAAGCAAAUCAGGAAGUAGCUCGAGACGCUUCAAUAUCGUCGUCCGUCUUCGCGGACGAGAUAUCCACCAGUACCUCUUCUUACACUGUUGUAACAUCCGAUUCACCUCUGCAACCCAAAGGUCAACUUUUGGAUCACCUCCUGAACGGAGGCACCUUUACCGUUCCUGAUGUCGCCGCCGUAUCCACAGCAACGGCAGCCGACUCUAUCGUUUUCCCCUCAUCCUAAUAUCACAAUAACCCUGUAUAGAUGAAAAAAAUUAUACCACCCUCUAAAAUCUGGCUAAUAUCACGAAUUGUAGGCAUGACAUCAACAGCGGAAAUGAUGAUGGAAGAACCGGGGUUUACGUGGGGCGACCACCUUCCCAUAGAGAACAGAGACCAGGAU
rnacentral:misc_RNA from 1 species